UACGUAGGGUGCGAGCGUUUAAUCGGAAUACUGGGCGUAAAGCGUGCGCAGGCGGUUAUGUAAGACAGAUGUGAAAUGCCCGGGCUUAACCUGGGAACUGCAUUUGUGACUGCAUGGCUAGAGUUUGGCAGAGGGGGGUAGAAUUCCACGUGUAGCAGUGAAAUGCGUAGAUAUGGUGGAGGAACACCGAUGGCGAAGGGCAGCCCCCUGGGUCAAGACUGACGCUCAUGCACGAAAGGCGUGGG
rnacentral:rRNA from 1 species